rnacentral:rRNA from 1 species
GUGAGGAAUAUUGCGCAAUGGAGGCAACUCUGACGCAGCCAUGCCGCGUGCAGGAAGAAGGCGCUACGCGUUGUAAACUGCUUUUAACCGGGAAGAAACCCCAGGACGUGUCCUGGGUUGACGGUACCGGAGGAAUAAGCACCGGCUAACUUCGUGCCAGCAGCCGCGGUAAUACGAAGGGUGCAAGCGUUAUCCGGCUUCAUUGGGUUUAAAGGGUGCGUAGGCGGAGCGUUAAGUAAGUGGUGAAAUUCUGCAGCUUAACUGGAGACUUGCCAUUGAUACUGGCGCUCUUGAGUGCGCUUGAAGUGGUCGGAAUGUGCCGUGUAGCGGUGAAAUGCUUAGAUAUGGCACAGAACACCAAUUGCGAAGGCAGCUCACUAAGGCGAUACUGACGCUGAGGCACGAAAGCGUGGGGAUCGAACAGGAUUAGAUACCCUUGUAGUCC